rnacentral:rRNA from 1 species
GGGAAUCUGAAUGCUUAUUGCACCACAUGUGUUUUUCUUUGAAACAAACUUGCUUUGGCGGUGGGCCCAGCCUGCCGCCAGAGGUCUAAACUUACAACCAAUUUUUUAUCAACUUGUCACACCAGAUUAUUACUAAUAGUCAAAACUUUCAACAACGGAUCUCUUGGUUCUCGCAUCGAUGAAGAACGCAGCGAAAUGCGAUACGUAAUAUGAAUUGCAGAUAUUCGUGAAUCAUCGAAUCUUUGAACGCACAUUGCGCCCUCUGGUAUUCCGGAGGGCAUGCCUGUUUGAGCGUCGUUUCUCCCUCAAACCGCUGGGUUUGGUGUUGAGCAAUACGACUUGGGUUUGCUUGAAAGACGGUAGUGGUAAGGCGGGAUCGCUUUGACAAUGGCUUAGGUCUAACCAAAAACAUUGCUUGCGGCGGUAACGUCCACCACGUAUAUCUUCAAACUUUGACCUCAAAUCAGGUAGGACUACCCGCUGAACUUAAGCAUAUCAAAAGGCGGGAGGAA